UACGUAGGGUGCGAGCGUUGUCCGGAAUUAUUGGGCGUAAAGAGCUCGUAGGCGGUGUGUCACGUCGGCCGUGAAAACCUGCAGCUUAACUGUGGGCGUGCGGUCGAUACGGGCAUCACUGGAGUUCGGCAGGGGAGACUGGAAUUCCUGGUGUAGCGGUGAAAUGCGCAGAUAUCAGGAGGAACACCGGUGGCGAAGGCGGGUCUCUGGGCUGAUACUGACGCUGAGGAGCGAAAGCGUGGGGAGCAAACAGG
rnacentral:rRNA from 1 species